GGUGGUUCUCUCGCCUAGCCGAAGGAAGGCCGGCUCGCAGCGCCCUCUACCGGUGCUAGGCCCUCGUUCCGGCCGUUCCUUCCGGGCGCCUGCGCAGGGAGUUCCGCCGCAGAGGGAGACACCCCAACCCAGCCUUGCGCCUGACAGGCCCUAAGAUGCGGGAAGGGCUGUGCAAACUCAGAGUGUGCUUCCCUGCAGGGCACACACUGAAGCCCUACAGCCGUCCUACAAACAAAUAAAGGUUCAAGCGAUUCUCCUGCCUCAGCCUUCCAAGUAGUUGGGAUUACAGGCGCCUGCCACCACACCUGGCUAAUUUUUUUUUUUUUUUCGACAGAGUUUCGCUCUUCUUGCCCAGGCUGGAGUGCAGUGGCGCAAUCUCGGCUCACUGCAGCCUCUGCCUCCCAGGUUCAAGUGAUUCUCCUGUCUCAGCUUCCCGAGUAGCUGGGAUUACAGGCGCCUGCCGCCACACCCGGCUAAUUUUGUAUUUUUAGCAGAGAUGGGGGUUUCACCAUGUUGCCCAGGCUGGUCUUGAACUCCUGACCUCAAGUGAUCCACCCGCCUCAGCCUCCCAAACUGCUGGGAUUAUAGGCAUGAGCCACUGCACCUAGCCUGGAAAUUUGUUUUUAAGGACAACAUUUUUUUGAAAUAAAUAUCGUCGUGGUAAACACAUUUCCAAACCAUGGGGCAUAUUCUGAAAGUCAUCAGCAUAUUGAAGCCUUGCACCACGCACAAGAGGAAACAAGAGAGAAGUGUCAGUGUCGGUGGACACAACCUGAACCCUGAAAAUGCUGGGGAAAUGGGAAAACGUUGACUGCGUUCCUACAUGAGAAGAGCUGCCAGCAGCCGGCCCUGGCCUCCUAAGCUCGUCCAGUCUCCCCGGUCCAGGAACUCACCUGCCUCCCAGAGCGCCGCGCCCAAGGCACCUGGCACAGGCCCUGUGACGUGCGUGUCCACCAAAGGCUCCGCUUCCUUCUUGUCCCUCUUCCGGGGAGCUUCCACGCCUUUCUGCUGCUUCUUCCCUUUCCUGCUCAGCAUGGUCUGCAGCUUCCCCAGGUCCAGGCUGACGUUGGCUUCCAUGAGCCCUUGGAAGUUCCCAAAGAGGCUGUGGAAGAGCCGCUGGUGCUGCUCCAAGCUGCGCUGAGUGGCGAAGAGUGCGUUGUGGAGGCUGUCAAGGGAGGCGUUGAGGGAGGCGGCCCCGGCCCCGGCCCCGGCCUCGCAGCACCGCCCCACACUCUUGACGUCGUUGCUCAGGCGCUGGAGCUCCCGUGCCAGCCCGCCCAGGGCGGUGGUGGCGGCCUCCUCGCGGCCCGCGUCGUGGCUGGGCUCCAGGUGCUCUGCCGGCCGCGGGGGCUCCGAGGCCUGCUCCAGGGCCGCCACUCGGGCGGCCAGCUCGUCCCAGCCGAGCGCCUGCUCCUGCAGCCCGCUGGCGGCGUCCUGCAGGGCCACGCGGAUCUGCUCGUAGCUCAGGGGCAGCGGUCCCGGCGUCUGCUCAGACAUCUCCUCCAGCACCUCCUCUCCGAAGAGCGCGGCCAGCACCGCCUCGUGCCGCAGCGCGUCCUCCAGCAGAGCGGCGAAGGCGCUGUGCAGCUGGCGCACCUCGCGGCGGGCCUCGGCCGCAGCCGCCUUCAGCGCGCCCACCUCGUCAUCCAGCGCCUGCACUUGGCUCCGGAGCCGCGACGUGGCCGCCCGCGCCCGCUCGCCCUCCGCUUUGUGCGCGUCCAAGGCCAGCGACACGGCGUCCACGGCGUUCUGCAGGGCCUGCAGGGAGGAGCCGUCCAGCUGCCGCCGCUCGUCCAGGCUCACCUGGGUCUCCUCCAGAGCACGCGUGGCGUCCCUCUGGCCCUCCCGGAUGACGUCCAUGUCUAAGUAGAGCUUCUGGCAAUUGCAGUCCUUCACGUACUUGAUGAGGUCAGCAUGGCCACCCUGCAGGUGCUGCAGUGUGAGGUUGAGCUCCAGGAGCUGCCGCUCCACCUCCUCCUUGUUCUCCUCCAUGAUCAGAGACUUCUCCAUCAGGAUCACGCGCAGCUCACGGAGCGCCGUGUGGUUCACCUGCAGCUCCUCCACCUGCCGCUCCACCUUGCUAAUCUGAUCGAAAGUCUCGUCCGAUUCGGAGUACAGUUCCUUGAUCUCAUCCACGUGCCGGGUCAGGGUGGCCCUCAUGUCCUCCAGGGUGUACUGCAACUCCUCCUCCCUGCGGGCCGUGGUCAUGUGCAGCUCUGAGAGGUUCCUCUGCAGCUGGCCCAGCCUGGCCUGCAGGCUGUCCGGCUCAGGCCUUGCCCCAGCCCCGGGCGUUGCCAACACCAGACUGCCAUUGGUCUCUGGGGCCUCCUGAGCCUUGUGCAGCCUCUUCAAUUUGGUGUCCACAUCGGCCUGGAGCUCUGAAAUCGAGCGGUGCAGGGUAAAGUGCUGGGCGUGCAGGCGGUCCUCCACGUCCUGCCGCAGCUGACCCACUCUCUGAGUGUUCUCCUGGACCUUGGCCUCAAAUUUGGCACCAAGCUCCUGGAAGUCAGCCCUGGCCACGGCACUGUCCUGGACUCCAGAGAUGGCCUGGCGGUUGGCCUCCACAUGAAGAGACAGGUUUCUUAUGGCCUGGGAAAGGCUGUGCAGGCUUUGGUUAAAGCUCCUCCAGAUGGGGCUGAAAUGCACUUGUAGGAAGGUGUCCACGUGGGGUAGCAGCACCUGCUCCAAGGAUCUAUCAGGGAAAUCUGCAACAGACAUGUGGUGUGACACAAGCCCUGCAGGAGCAGACACUCCUCCCAGGCUGGGACCAGCGGGGUCCUCCCCUCCUCCCCUCAAUGUGACCAGGCUCUUCCUCAGCCCCUAGGGCCUGCCACUCACCGUGCCCUGUUUGAUUUGCUUCCAUUGCUGCAGCUGUGAGGUUACCAGGCAGGGCUUUCCACAGGCCUGGCAGGCUGUCUGCCACCUGGUGCACAUCAUUCUGGAGAUCUCCCAGCAGGUGUUCCUGCUGUUCCUGUUGCACCUCAACCUCAUUGAUUGCUGCAGCAAGGUGGCCUAAAUACACAGCAGACAUAAAUGUCAAGGGCUAACUCACCAGGCCUGGGAAGAUCACGAGGUUCAGAUAAGGAGAGUUGAAGGCUGAGAGCAGGGAAGUUAGCUGCUGAUGUCCUCUGAGCAGGAGCUUAGAAGCCUUAAACCCCUGGAGGGCAAAUGCAUAGCAAGUGAGCCCUCACCCUGCCUCCUACACCUACAGUAGACAUGACUAAUCAAUCAUGGUACACUCCCCUCCUCAGCACAUGCACAUGGCCUCACAACUUCAUUCUUGGCAGCCCUUGUCAAUAAAUACUUCACCACA